ensembl:lncRNA
GGAAAAACGGACCCUUCUCCUGGUAAUUGACCUGCAGUCUUAAUUCCUUCCCAGGUGUAACGCCACUUCCACACACAAAACAAUGAACGACUCCCAAACCGUUGCUGCGGUCCACCCUGGAACUGUGGCCGCGCAAUGGGCUCUCAUCGCCGGGCAUGACCGCUGCCAUGGGUCGGUGUUUCCGAGUUUCAGGAAAGGUGGAAGCAUUCCCGUCACUCCUGACCACAAAUACAUUAUUCACCAACGACUCAAUCCAAUUUCGUCCUGUAUCCU